rnacentral:tRNA from 1 species
CUGUAGCUCAGCGGUAGAGCUGCGGACUUUUAAUCCGUAGGUCCUGGGUUCGAAUCCCAGUG